rnacentral:piRNA from 1 species
UCCCUCUGUGUGGUGCUCAGGUCCUCGU